rnacentral:rRNA from 1 species
GCGCACGCUGGCGGCAGGCCUAACACCUGCAAGUCGAACGAACUCUUCGGAGUUAGGGCGGACGGGUGAGUAACACGUGGGAACGUGCCUUUAGGUUCGGAAUAACUCAGGGAAACUUGUGCUAAUACCGAAUGUGCCCUUCGGGGGAAAGAUUUAUCGCCUUUAGAGCGGCCCGCGUCUGAUUAGCUAGUUGGUGAGGUAAAGGCUCACCAAGGCGACGAUCAGUAGCUGGUCUGAGAGGAUGAUCAGCCACAUUGGGACUGAGACACGGCCCAAACUCCUACGGGAGGCAGCAGUGGGGAAUCUUGCGCAAUGGGCGAAAGCCUGACGCAGCCAUGCCGCGUGAAUGAUGAAGGUCUUAGGAUUGUAAAAUUCUUUCACCGGGGACGAUAAUGACGGUACCCGGAGAAGAAGCCCCGGCUAACUUCGUG